CGGACGGAGCGCAACGCGCAGGAAGAGGAGACCACCGAGCAGCACAGCCAAGCGCUCUCACACAUUCACGCGCGCACACACACACACACAAGCGCGCGCGCACACACACGCACACACAUUCAGUGCCUGCUCUUUCCUCUCUCCCCCUCCCUUCCCCCCUCCUCCUUUCUCUGCAACAAGGAGAGAGAGAGAGAGAGGAGGAAAAAAAAGAAAGCCACUUACAGGGAGUGAUGUGCAACUAAUUAAAGACAGACAGGCGGGUUAAGCGUCUGCAAAAUCCAAGUGUCCCCCCAAAAAAUACAGAGACUGUUGCGACGGUUCCCGGGGAGGAGGACGACAACGACGACGACGAUGCAAAGGAAGAGGCUGCCUGAGAAGACUUCGCCGUGUGCCGAGAUGCCCCCCCAAGAGGAUUAGAGGGCACCGCUUCCCCCCCUUCCCUCCCCCUGACCCCCCGGGCUACCCAGCACCCGGCCCGGCCCCCCCGACGGCUCCCGUGGCCCUCCUCCCCACCCUGCCCUUCCCUCCCCUGGCCCUCCCCGGCCCCCCCUUCCUGUCCUCACCCCCUCCCUCCUCCUCCUCGUCGUCCUCCUCCUUCCCUCCCACCCUGUUGC